rnacentral:lncRNA from 1 species
CCGGGGUGUGGGUCCCCUCACUCCACAGCCCUCGUGGGCUCCCUCUGCUCGUCCUCAGAUGCGUGCCAGGGCCAUCGAGGGCGGCACAGGCUGGCUCCUCCCUCGUGUGUACCAAGUGGACCCAGGUGCCCUGGCCAGCAGGGUGGGGUGGGCACACCCCCAAUGACCGGGACCCUGCGGCCCUGUGAGCUCAGAUCCUGGCCUAUGUCUCAAGCCUCAGUUUCUCCCUCUGUGAGGUGGGGUGUCACAAACCCCACCGCGUGGGACAGCUGGAAGGAUUCAUGAGCAGAUCCUCAGAAGUACCUCUCAUGAGCCCAGCCCAGGCGAAUCCCAGUCCUGCCAGAGCUGCGAGUCCUCGGUGCCGCCCGCUGUCCUGGCUUUUUCAUCUGUGCGUGGUGAGGGACUUGGGGACAGCGGCCUGGCUUCCGGAACCUUGGAGGCCCCCAAGCUGCUGUGAUGUUUCUAUUCUCUGAGACGGCGGUGGCCUGGGGCCGUUUUAUUUUGGAUUGGGCCCAUUCUUCUACCAGAAAGUCCCGGCCAGAGGCAUCCGUGCAGCAGUCUGUGAUUUUCAAACGACUGACACACAUGAACUCUUGUCCAGACUGCUGCGGUGUGGCCCAGGGAACCCUUGUCAGAGCAGAAGUGGAGUGGUGUGCAGAGGCCGGGCUGCAUCUCGCCCUCAGCAACUGCUGUUUCAGCCCUGGGCUCUGGGUUUCUGGCUCUGCUGCAUGGACAGCCUCAGCCUUGGCUGCUUUCACUCAUAUUCUUGGUGGAGAAUGUGAUUAUCACUGGGAAUGUGGACAUGAACACGGCCGGAUUCCCGGCGAUUUCUGCGGUGCACACCUAGACCCUCCCGGAGUCCCCAGGCCCAGCCCAGACCCCCAGUGGCAGCGUCAUUCAGUUCUCUCAACACCACUUAGGGAUGGAGCUAGAGGGCAGGAUGGAUCGCCAGAGGUCCCUGGGCCUGGUGCUGGGUCCCCACUGGGGCGGGAGCCCCUGGUGGCUGGGACCCAGGUGGCUCCCUCGUUCCCUGCCCUGUGUCCCCCCUAGCCCAAGGCCUGGUGGGGGUUGCAGGCAUGGCUCACUGUCACUCCCUGCUCCACGGUAACUGUGCACCGCCCUCCCGCAGCUGCGUCCUGCUGAGGUGGAGCACGGGCACCAGGAGCUCUGCAGUCUGUGUGAGGAGCUCUCGGGGAAGGGUUCCGAGAUCGGUGCCGACAAGCUCAAGCAGGUUCUGGAUGGGGUGUUUUCCAGACGAACAGACAUAAAGUUCGAUGGUUUCAGCAUCCACACUUGCCGGGAAGUGAUCAGCUUGCUGGACGUAUCCUUUGAGCAGCUCAGCCUCUCUC